AUUGAACGCUGGCGGCAGGCCUAACACAUGCAAGUCGAACGAGUGGCGGACGGGUGAGUAAUGUCUGGGAAACUGCCUGAUGGAUGGGGAUAACUACUGGAAACGGUAGCUAAUACCGCAUACCAUCGGAUGUGCCCAGAUGGGAUUCGCUAGUAGGUGGGGUAAAGGCUCACCUAGGCGACGAUCCCUAGCUGGUCUGAGAGGAUGACCGGCCACACUGGAACUGAGACACGGGCCAGACUCCUACGGGAGGCAGCAGUGGGGAAUAUUGCACAAUGGGCGAAAGCCUGACGCAGCAAUGCCGCGUGAGUGAUGAAGGUCUUCGGGUUGUAAAGCUCUGUCAGCAGGGAAGCGUUACCUGCAGAGAAAGCCCCGGCUAACUCCGUGCCAGCAGCCGCGGUAAUAC
rnacentral:rRNA from 1 species